rnacentral:rRNA from 1 species
GUGCCAGCAGCCGCGGUAAUACAGAGGGUGCAAGCGUUAAUCGGAAUUACUGGGCGUAAAGCGCGCGUAGGUGGUUCGUUAAGUUGGAUAUGAAAUCCCCGGGCUCAACCUGGGAACUGCAUCCAAAACUGGCGAGCUAGAGUAUGGUAGAGGGUGGUGGAAUUUCCUGUGUAGCGGUGAAAUGCGUAGAUAUAGGAAGGAACACCAGUGGCGAAGGCGACCACCUGGACUGAUACUGACACUGAGGUGCGAAAGCGUGGGGAGCAAACAGGAUUAGAAACCCGGGUAGUCC